UAACCCACCACUCUGGUAGGCAGCAUUCAAUCCUUCUAUGCCUUUUUUUUUUCGUCAACUGUUGAGGUCUUACUUCUGAAACAGAGAAGAAAUAAACAAGUCAGAUUUACCUUCUUGGAAAUGUGGUCCAGAUUUCUCUACUCCCAAGCUCCAAAAAA
rnacentral:lncRNA from 1 species